UGCAUCAUGAUUUACAUUUGAGUGAGUGGCGAACUGGUGAGUAACACGUGGGAAACCUGCCCAGAAGCGGGGGAUAACACCUGGAAACAGAUGCUAAUACCGCAUAACAACUUGGACCGCAUGGUCCGAGUUUGAAAGAUGGCUUCGGCUAUCACUUUUGGAUGGUCCCGCGGCGUAUUAGCUAGAUGGUGGGGUAACGGCUCACCAUGGCAAUGAUACGUAGCCGACCUGAGAGGGUAAUCGGCCACAUUGGGACUGAGACACGGCCCAAACUCCUACGGGAGGCAGCAGUAGGGAAUCUUCCACAAUGGACGAAAGUCUGAUGGAGCAACGCCGCGUGAGUGAAGAAGGGUUUCGGCUCGUAAAACUCUGUUGUUAAAGAAGAACAUAUCUGAGAGUAACUGUUCAGGUAUUGACGGUAUUUAACCAGAAAGCCACGGCUAACUACGUGCCAGCAGCCGCGGUAAUACGUAGGUGGCAAGCGUUGUCCGGAUUUAUUGGGCGUAAAGCGAGCGCAGGCGGUUUUUUAAGUCUGAUGUGAAAGCCUUUCGGCUCAACCGAAGAAGUGCAUCGGAAACUGGGAAACUUGAGUGCAGAAGAGGACAGUGGAACUCCAUGUGUAGCGGUGAAAUGCGUAGAUAUAUGGAAGAACACCAGUGGCGAAGGCGGCUGUCUGGUCUGUAACUGACGCUGAGGCUCGAAAGUAUGGGUAGCAAACAGGAUUAGAUACCCUGGUAGUCCAUACCGUAAACGAUGAAUGCUAAGUGUUGGAGGGUUUCCGCCCUUCAGUGCUGCAGCUAACGCAUUAAGCAUUCCGCCUGGGGAGUACGGCCGCAAGGCUGAAACUCAAAGGAAUUGACGGGGGCCCGCACAAGCGGUGGAGCAUGUGGUUUAAUUCGAAGCUACGCGAAGAACCUUACCAGGUCUUGACAUACUAUGCAAAUCUAAGAGAUUAGACGUUCCCUUCGGGGACAUGGAUACAGGUGGUGCAUGGUUGUCGUCAGCUCGUGUCGUGAGAUGUUGGGUUAAGUCCCGCAACGAGCGCAACCCUUAUUAUCAGUUGCCAGCAUUAAGUUGGGCACUCUGGUGAGACUGCCGGUGACAAACCGGAGGAAGGUGGGGAUGACGUCAAAUCAUCAUGCCCCUUAUGACCUGGGCUACACACGUGCUACAAUGGAUGGUACAACGAGUUGCGAACUCGCGAGAGUAAGCUAAUCUCUUAAAGCCAUUCUCAGUUCGGAUUGUAGGCUGCAACUCGCCUACAUGAAGUCGGAAUCGCUAGUAAUCGCGGAUCAGCAUGCCGCGGUGAAUACGUUCCCGGGCCUUGUACACACCGCCCGUCACACCAUGAGAGUUUGUAACA
rnacentral:rRNA from 2 species